rnacentral:sRNA from 1 species
AUUUUGCGUUAGUGAUUGCAGCAGAAAUCCUUUUGUGAGGAACGAGCAAAAGAUUGGAGCGUAAAGCACGACCCGAA